UAUACCAAUAUCCUACCCUGUGAUCUGAGAGCAUGUGGCUCCCUUGAGUACAUGGGAUUAACCAAUCAUAUUCUCAGUCUUUAGAACUUGAAUAGGAAUAAGAAAAAAGAAUUUUUACAGCAAAAAGAGGAAAUGACAGAGGGGAACAGACAAUGGGUAUGUCCAAACUGGUACCUGCAGGAUUUCAUUUGCUUAUUGGAUGCAUGUUACAGUAAGCAUCAACUUUCUGCGUGUCUGAGGUAUAACCUGGAGCCUAAGAGUCUGCAUUUUUAUGGCCAUCCACCUGAUCCUAGUGCUGCUGAUCUGUUGGUCACAUUUUGAGUAUGAAAGAUAUAAAAGAAGGAUCGUGCACAUGGAUUGGAAUGCCUUUAUUGAAUCCCCCAGGCGUUCCAAGUAAACACAAAUAGAAUAAUUAGGAACAACUGUAAAGGA